UCGACCCCACUCACUCAACGCGACAAAAGGAGGCGCUGAAAUUGAAGAAGCUUCUACACAUGCUUUUCUUUGUCAAUCUUCAAAACUUUGAAAAUUCGUGGAAAAUUUAUCUCAACUUCACCCACCAUUUUUUCCAUUUCUUCUUCUCUCACUCACUAGAAUUGUUUGUUAAUAAUAUUCAAGCACAAAACAGUUGUUAUCUCUCUCUGUCUCUAUCUCAUCUCUCUCUCUCUUUCUCUGCAGAAAAAAGGCAAAUUUCCCAGAAUCGAUACUAAAAGGAGCAAGAAAUCUCCAGUUCUAAUCUCUUUUUCAUGCUGGAUUUAUAGUUUUAUUUGAUAACGUAAACUUAAUUUGCUGCAAAAAUUCGUCAUAUGAUGAUCCAGUGGCAAUUGAAAUAAAGG